GACGAACGCUGGCGGCGUGCUUAACACAUGCCAGUCGAACGGAAAGGCCCUGCUUUUGUGGGGUGCUCGAGUGGCGAACGGGUGAGUAACACGUGAGUAACCUGCCCUUGACUUUGGGAUAACUUCAGGAAACUGGGGCUAAUACCGGAUAGGAGCUCCUGCUGCAUGGUGGGGGUUGGAAAGUUUCGGCGGUUGGGGAUGGACUCGCGGCUUAUCAGCUUGUUGGUGGGGUAGUGGCUUACCAAGGCUUUGACGGGUAGCCGGCCUGAGAGGGUGACCGGCCACAUUGGGACUGAGAUACGGCCCAGACUCCUACGGGAGGCAGCAGUGGGGAAUAUUGCACAAUGGGCGAAAGCCUGAUGCAGCAACGCCGCGUGCGGGAUGACGGCCUUCGGGUUGUAAACCGCUUUCGCCUGUGACGAAGCGUGAGUGACGGUAAUGGGUAAAGAAGCACCGGCUAACUACGUG
rnacentral:rRNA from 1 species